rnacentral:lncRNA from 1 species
AUGACAAAAAAAAAAAAAAAAGCAAGCGAUGAAGCGGCGUUGACACUCUCUCAUCCGAGUUUCACAUCGAUCCUCCGACAGCAGAGCCAGACGCCACCCUCCGAUGAGAAAGCCCACCCUCCAGACAACUUGCCUGUGGACACGGAAGAAACGAAGAAACGGGCGACCGCGACUCAGACUCCACGGGAGCACUCUGUCCACAGGAGACUGUCCCCACUCGGGGGGCAGCGAGGCACUUCGUGUCAAAGCCCCCACACGAGCAAACGCAGCAAGUCCAGCCCCACGACGGCCGGUGACCAACUCCUCUCCCCACCAGCCCCGCGCCCGGGUCCCGCUGGGCCGCGCGGCGGGCCCGUCGUCGCCCCUGGAAGGCGGCGAGGGGGACAAAGGCCCUCUGGGGACAAGCGCCCUCUGAGACGGAGGGCACGGGCGGCAGGAAGGAGGGCGCGUCGGGCCGACCCGGGCUUGCUACAGCGAGACGCCCCUCUCACCCGCAAGGAAACUGCGCAGCGCCAGACCGAAAACAGCUCACGCGAGACCGCAGCGGAGACGACAGGAAGGGAGAGGGAGAGGGAGAGGGAGGGGCAGGGGCCCAGCCGCGGGCCCCGGGGCGCAGCAGGCGCCGAGCGCCGCCCGCCGGACGCCGCGACGCUCCAGCCGCAGCGGCCGAGCCCGCGCCGCCCCUCCCCCACGCGCCGGCCUCCCGCGCCCCGACGGUUACUCGACGCGGCCCCGCGCGACCCGCCGCGCGCGCGCUCACCCCCGCCGGGCCCGCGGCCUCCAGCCCGCCGCUCUUCUCACCCAGCUCGGCCUCGCGGCGGCCGCUACCCCACUUCCAUGCCGCCGCUCCCCAGUCGGCCGACGGCGGAAGGGCAAGCCCACACCCGGCCACCCAACCCGCGGGCGCCGCGAGCCCAGGCCCCGCCCCCUGCGCGGCGUCGGCCGUCCGCAGGCCCCGCCCCAGCGCUGAUUUCUUGUUUCGGUGCGCCGAGGGGCGGGGCGCGUGAACAGACGCACCCGGGCUCCGCCAGGAGGCCGAGACCCGCGCCUGGCGUCACUUCCGGGAUGCCUGGCCUGGCCCGGCCAAUCAGGAGCGUCCAUGCGGGUUGGGGCAAAGUUUACCGCCAAGCCGUCAACGAGGCCACGCCCAGGACUUCCUGCGGGUGGGGCCCGUGGCCCACGCGCCCAGCCCGGGGAGCCUUAGGCGCCUACCCUCCGGCUUUUUCCGUUCCGUUCUCUUUCCUCCGCCGUCAACGCUUCAGGUGUCUCAUCAGGGUAUUACGGAUUACGAAGGAAUCGCUCUUUCGAUUUCCUUUAAAGACCUAA